rnacentral:tRNA from 1 species
AUUUAUAUAGCUUAAAAUUUAGAGCAUUGUGUUGAAGUUACAAGGGUGAAUUUUAUUCUAUAAAUA